rnacentral:rRNA from 1 species
GAUGAACGCUGGCGGCGUGCCUAAUACAUGCAAGUCGAGCGAACAGACGAGGAGCUUGCUCCUCUGACGUCAGAGGCGGACGGGAGAGUAACACGUGGUUAAACUAACUAUAAGACUGGGAUAACAUCGGGAAACCGGAGCUAAUAACGGAUAAUUUAUUGCACUGCAUGGUUCACUCGUGAAAGUAGGUUUUGCUGUCACUAAUAGAUGGAUCAGCCCCGGAUUAGCGAGUUGGUAAGGUAAAGGCUUAACAAGGCGACGAUCCAUAGCUGGCCUGAGAGGAUGAUCAGCGACACUGGGACUGAGACACGGACCAGACUCCUACGGGAGGCAGCAGUGGGGAAUAUGGGACAAUGGGGGAAAGCAUGAUCCAGCAAUGCCGCGUGAGUGAUGAAGGACGUAGGGUUGUAAAGCUCUUUUACCAGGGAUGAUAAUGACAGUACCGGGAGAAUAAGCUCCGGCUAACUCCGUG